rnacentral:lncRNA from 8 species
AUGCAUUUCAUUUUAAUGCAUUUUCUCGCUCCACUCCUUCUGAUUCAAUUACCCUCUCAGCCUUUCUCAUUAUUUUACAGAUCACCGUGUCUCUCUCCCCUCUCCCCCCAGUCUUCCUCUCUCUUACAGAUGUGCUGGUCUUCCAUCAGUCAUUUCAGGUCUAAACCAGAGAAACCUCAUCACAUGCCCUUUCACUCUCUGCUCCCUCAAGCCCUCAUCUCUUUGUUCUCUCUUCCCUCCACCCCUUCUCUCUCUGUUCUCGCUAUCUCUCCACUCUCUCUGUUCUCUCCAUUCCUCCAUCCCUCCUCUCUGUUCUCUCUCCAUCCCUCCUCUCUCUGUUCCCUCCAUCCCUCCUCUCUCUGUUCCCUCCAUCCCUCUCUCUGUUCUCUGUUCUAUCUCCAUCCCUCCUCUCUCUAUUCUCUCCAUCCCUCCUCUCUCUGUUCUCUCCAUCCCUCCUCUCUCUGUUCUCUCUCCAUCCCUCCUCUCUCUGUUCCCUCCAUCCCUCCUCUCUCUGUUCUCUCUCCAUCCCUCCUCUCUCUGUUCCCUCCAUCCCUCCUCUCUCUGUUCCCUCCAUCCCUCCUCUCUCUGUUCUCUCCAUCCCUCCUCUCUCUGUUCUCUCUCCACCCCUUCUCUCUCUGUUUUCGCUAUCUCUCCACUCUCUCUGUUCUCUCCAUUCCUCCAUCUCUCCUCUCUCUGUUCUCUCUCCAUCCCUCCUCUCUCUGUUCCCUCCAUCCCUCCUCUCUCUGUUCCCUCCAUCCCUCCUCUCGCUGUUCUCUCUCCAUCCCUCCUCUCUCUGUUCCCUCCAUCCCUCCUCUCUCUGUUCCCUCCAUCCCUUCUCUCUCUGUUCCCUCCAUCCCUCCUCUCUCUGUUCCCUCCAUCCCUCCUCUCUCUGUUCCCUCCAUCCCUCCUCUCUCUGUUCCCUCCAUCCCUUCUCUCUCUGUUCCCUCCAUCCCUGCUCUCUCUGUUCCCUCCAUCCCUGCUCUCUCUGUUCCCUCCAUCCCUCCUCUCUCUGUUCCCUCCAUCCCUCCACUCUCUGUUGUCUCCAUCCCGCAUGCCUUCAUCAGGAGGCCUGAAGACUGCUGA